rnacentral:rRNA from 1 species
CCUACGGGAGGCUGCAGUGAGGAAUAUUGGUCAAUGGGCGGAAGCCUGAACCAGCCAAGUAGCGUGCAGGAUGACUGCCCUACGGGUUGUAAACUGCUUUUAUACGGGAAUAACGCGCCUCACGUGUAGCUCUUUGCAUGUACUGUAUGAAUAAGGAUCGGCUAACUCCGUGCCAGCAGCCGCGGUAAUACGGAGGGUCCGGGCGUUAUCCGGAUUUAUUGGGUUUAAAGGGAGCGUAGGUCGCGUGUUAAGUGUGUUGUGAAAUGUUCGGGCUCAACCGGGACAGUGCAAUGGGUACUGGCGUGCUUGAGUACACGGGAGGCAGGCGGAAUUCGUGGUGUAGCGGUGAAAUGCUUAGAUAUGACGAAGAACCCCGAUUGCGAAGGCAGCUUACUACAGCGGAACUGACACUGAUGCUCGAAAGCGCGGGUAUCAAACAGGAUUAGAUACCCCAGUAGUC